rnacentral:rRNA from 1 species
UACAGAGGUCUCAAGCGUUGUUCGGAUUCAUUGGGCGUAAAGGGUGCGUAGGUGGUGAUGCAAGUCUGGUGUGAAAUCUCGGAGCUCAACUCCGAAAUUGCACCGGAUACUGCGUGACUCGAGGACUGUAGAGGAGAUCGGAAUUCACGGUGUAGCAGUGAAAUGCGUAGAUAUCGUGAGGAAGACCAGUUGCGAAGGCGGAUCUCUGGGCAGUUCCUGACACUGAGGCACGAAGGCCAGGGGAGCAAACAGG